AUUGAACGCUGGCGGCAGGCCUAACACAUGCAAGUCGAACGGUAACAGGAAGCAGCUUGCUGCUUUGCUGACGAGUGGCGGACGGGUGCGUAAUGUCUGGGAAACUGCCUGAUGGAGGGGGAUAACUACUGGAAACGGUAGCUAAUACCGCAUAACGUCGCAAGACCAAAGUGGGGGACCUUCGGGCCUCUUGCCAUCGGAUGUGCCCAGAUGGGAUUAGCUAGUAGGUGGGGUAAAGGCUCACCUAGGCGACGAUCCCUAGCUGGUCUGAGAGGAUGACCAGCCACACUGGAACUGAGACACGGUCCAGACUCCUACGGGAGGCAGCAGUGGGGAAUAUUGCACAAUGGGCGCAAGCCUGAUGCAGCCAUGCCGCGUGUAGGAAGAAGGCCUUCGGGUUGUAAAGUACUUUCAGCGGGGAGGAAGGGAGUAAAGUUAAUACCUUUGCUCAUUGACGUUACCCGCAGAAGAAGCACCGGCUAACUCCGUG
rnacentral:rRNA from 1 species